AUUGUUUAUAAAUGUUUUUUUCAUUUAAAUGAGGUUAGUUAUAAAUGAUAAUGAGCAUAGUCAAUCUCUUUUUAAAGAAAGAAAAGGGGAAUAGGAUAUAGGAAUGAAUACUUUAAAUUGGUAAAGAUUUUCAUUUAUUGAUACAACUUUAAGGUCAGUUUUGUGAUAUGUAUAUGUCUACUCUUGUUUAGGUAUUGUGUUUAUACAGAUCUUUUACCUAUAAUAGUCAGAACUUAUAAUUAGGUUAGUUAGGUUUUCUAGAUAUAGAGAUGUAUUUGAGAUGGUUAGGUGUUCUUCAAACCUUUCAAAGACCUACAGAAAUAUGGCAUUUAAAUGGUUUAGGGUUUUUCUUGGCAGUGAGACACAACUGCUCCUGGCACACCAAUUAUGUCAGAAAGGAGGAUGGGCAUCGAAGAAACUCGUUAUGGAGUUUGCUUUCAACAUGGCAAGACUAGCCAUUUGGACAAGAAACUGCUCUUGCCUGGACUGUUUGUUGCUGUAUAAAUUGGACAUACAGGACCCACAAGAAAAUGACUGCUAAACUUACAAAACUGAAGGGUUCCUGUUAAAAAGGAGGAGUGUGCCAGACACACUGUGGCCUAUAGGCUGAAGAUGGAUGCCCCAACAUUACAGAGGAACUUUGGGUGACUGUCCAGACAGAAAAUAAGAGAUGAUGGGGGAAAUACUUCUGCGUAUGUUUAUAAAUAAAGUACUUGCUUGGCCAAUGUGACAGCAGGUUAGGCUGGACUAGGAGUCAAAGAGGAUUCUGGGAAAUGUAGUAGAGAAAUGGUGUUCCAGACAGGAAGUGACAUAGCAAGGAG
rnacentral:lncRNA from 1 species